rnacentral:hammerhead_ribozyme from 1 species
AUCCAAUUGACGAGUCCCAAACACGACGAAACCCGCGUUCUGGAU